ACGAACGCUGGCGGCGUGCUUAACACAUGCAAGUCGAACGGUGAACUCGCUUCGGUGGGGGAUCAGUGGCGAACGGGUGAGUAACACGUGGGCAACCUGCCCCUGGCUCUGGGAUAACUCCAAGAAAUUGGGGCUAAUACCGGAUGUGACCGCUGACCGCAUGGUCUGGUGGUGGAAAGAUUUAUCGGCUGGGGAUGGGCCCGCGGCCUAUCAGCUUGUUGGUGGGGUAGUGGCCUACCAAGGCGACGACGGGUAGCCGGCCUGAGAGGGUGACCGGCCACACUGGGACUGAGACACGGCCCAGACUCCUACGGGAGGCAGCAGUGGGGAAUAUUGCGCAAUGGGCGAAAGCCUGACGCAGCGACGCCGCGUGGGGGAUGACGGCCUUCGGGUUGUAAACCUCUUUCAGCAGGGACGAAGCGGAAGUGACGGUACCUGCAGAAGAAGCACCGGCCAACUACGUGCCAGCAGCCGCGGUAAUACGUAGGGUGCAAGCGUUGUCCGGAAUUAUUGGGCGUAAAGAGCUCGUAGGCGGUCUGUCGCGUCGGCUGUGAAAACCCGAGGCUCAACCUCGGGCCUGCAGUCGAUACGGGCAAACUGGAGUGUUGCAGGGGAGACUGGAAUUCCUGGUGUAGCGGUGAAAUGCGCAGAUAUCAGGAGGAACACCGGUGGCGAAGGCGGGUCUCUGGGCAACAACUGACGCUGAGGAGCGAAAGCGUGGGGAGCGAACA
rnacentral:rRNA from 1 species